rnacentral:rRNA from 1 species
CGUAAGGUCCGAGCGUUGUCCGGAAUCAUUGGGCGUAAAGGGUACGUAGGCGGGUAAGCAAGUUAGAAGUGAAAUCCUAUAGCUCAACUAUAGUAAGCUUUUAAAAACUGCUCAUCUUGAGGUAUGGAAGGGGAAAAGUGGAAUUCCUAGUGUAGCGGUGAAAUGCGCAGAUAUUAGGAGGAAUACCGGUGGCGAAAGGCGACUUUCUGGCCAUAACCUGACGCUGAGGUACGAAGCGUGGGUAGCAAACAGGAUU